GGGUAGACGAUGAUAGCUUGCUAUCAGGCGUCGAGCGGCGGACGGGUGAGUAAUACUUAGGAAUCUACCUAGUAGUGGGGGAUAGCUCGGGGAAACUCGAAUUAAUACCGCAUACGUCCUACGGGAGAAAGGGGGCAACUUGUUGCUCUCGCUAUUAGAUGAGCCUAAGUCGGAUUAGCUAGAUGGUGGGGUAAAGGCCUACCAUGGCGACGAUCUGUAGCUGGUCUGAGAGGAUGAUCAGCCACACCGGGACUGAGACACGGCCCGGACUCCUACGGGAGGCAGCAGUGGGGAAUAUUGGACAAUGGGGGGAACCCUGAUCCAGCCAUGCCGCGUGUGUGAAGAAGGCCUUUUGGUUGUAAAGCACUUUAAGCAGUGAAGAAGACUCUUCGGUUAAUACCCGGGGACGAUGACAUUAGCUGCACAAUAAGCACCGGCUAACUCUGUGCCAGCAGCCGCGGUAAUACAGAGGGUGCAAGCGUUAAUCGGAAUUACUGGGCGUAAAGCGAGCGUAGGUGGCUUGAUAAGUCAGAUGUGAAAUCCCCGGGCUUAACCUGGGAACUGCAUCUGAAACUGUUAUGCUAUAGUAUGUGAGAGGGAAGUAGAAUUUCAGGUGUAGCGGUGAAAUGCGUAUAGAUCUGAAGGAAUACCGAUGGCGAAGGCAGCUUCCUGGCAUCAUACUGACACUGAGGCUCGAAAGCGUGGGUAGCAAACAGGAUUAGAUACCCUGGUAGUCCACGCCGUAAACGAUGUCUACAAGUCGUUGGGUCCCUUGAGGACUUAGUGACGCAGCUCACGCAAUAAGUAGACCGCCUGGGGAGUACGGCCGCAAGGUUAAAACUCACAUGAAUUGACGGGGGCCCGCACAAGCGGUGGAGCAUGUGGUUUAAUUCUAUGCAACGCGAAGAACCUUACCUGGUCUUGACAUACACAGAAUCUUGUAAAGAUACAAAAGUGCC
rnacentral:rRNA from 1 species